rnacentral:rRNA from 1 species
CAACAGGGAUUGCCCUAGUAACGGCGAGUGAAGCGGCAACAGCUCAAAUUUGAAAUCUGGCCCUUAUGGGGUCCGAGUUGUAAUUUGUAGAGGAUGCUUUUGGCACGGUGCCUUCCGAGUUCCCUGGAACGGGACGCCUUAGAGGGUGAGAGCCCCGUACGGUUGGACACUAAAGCCUCUGUAAAGCUCCUUCGACGAGUCGAGUAGUUUGGGAAUGCUGCUCUAAAUGGGAGGUAAAUUUCUUCUAAGGCUAAAUAUUGGCCAGAGACCGAUAGCGCACAAGUAGAGUGAUCGAAAGAUGAAAAGCACUUUGAAAAGAGGGUUAAAUAGUACGUGAAAUUGUUGAAAGGGAAGCGUUUGCGACCAGACCUUUUCUUAGCGGAUCAUCCGGUGGUUCCACCGGUGCACUUCGCUAUGAUAAGGCCAGCAUCGGUUUCUGUAGGGGGAUAAAAGCUUGGGGAACGUAGCUCCCUCGGGAGUGUUAUAGCCCCUUGCAUAAUACCCUUCCGGGGACCGAGGACCGCGCUAUAUGCAAGGAUGCUGGCAUAAUGGUCGUCAACGA